AACGAACGCUGGCGGCGUGGAUAAGACAUGCAAGUCGAGCGAGAUUUUUUCUUGUAGCAAUACGAGGAAAAGUCUAGCGGCGAACGGGUGCUUAACACGUGGGCAACCUGCCAAGAAGUGGGGGAUAGCUCGCCGAAAGGCGAAUUAAUACCGCAUGUGAUCAGAGUGGACAUCCAUUCAAAAUUAAAGUCGGGGCAACCUGACGCUUCUUGAGGGGCCCGCGGCCUAUCAGCUAGUUGGUGAGGUAACGGCCCACCAAGGCUUUGACGGGUAGCUAGUCUGAGAGGACGACCAGCCACACUGGGACUGAGACACGGCCCAGACACCUACGGGUGGCAGCAGUCGAGAAUUUUUCUCAAUGGGGGAAACCCUGAAGGAGCGACGCCGCGUGGAGGAUGAAGGUCUUCGGAUUGUAAACUCCUAUCAUUGGGGAACAAUGCGUAAAUAUUAACUGUAUUUGCGUUGAUAGUACCCGAAGAGGAAGAGACGGCUAACUCUGUGCCAGCAGCCGCGGUAA
rnacentral:rRNA from 1 species